rnacentral:rRNA from 1 species
AGGACGAACGCUGGCGGCGUGCUUAACACAUGCAAGUCGAGCGGAAAGGCCCUUCGGGGUACUCGAGCGGCGAACGGGUGAGUAACACGUGAGCAACCUGCCCUUAGCUCUGGGAUAGCUCCGGGAAACCGGAAUUAAUACCGGAUAUGACCUAGGCCGACAUCGGCCGUGGUGGAAAGUUUUUCGGCUAGGGAUGGACUCGCGGCCUAUCAGCUAGUUGGUGGGGUAAUGGCCUACCAAGGCGACGACGGGUAGCCGGCCUGAGAGGGCGACCGGCCACACUGGGACUGAGACACGGCCCAGACUCCUACGGGAGGCAGCAGUGGGAAUCUUGCGCAAUGGGCGAAAGCCUGACGCAGCGACGCCGCGUGGGGGAUGAAGGCCUUCGGGUUGUAAACCCCUUUCAGCAGGGACGAAGCGAAAGUGACGGUACCUGCAGAAGAAGCGCCGGCUAACUACGCGCCAGCAGCCGC